GAUAGAAGCACCAGCCCUAUUGCCUUGCUGCCAGCAGCCAUACGUCAUUCUUUCGCUUGUACGAAAUAAGUUUAUUCUAAAAGCGCCUGCAUUUACAAUCUUUUUGUGCUUGGAAAUUUGCUGCUACGAAGCAGCUGUUUAACCUGUGGUAUGAAUGAAUAAUGAAUUUAAGCUUACCAGAAAAUGUGGACGUGUCAACAUUUUCAGAAAAUGCGCACGUGUCAAGAGCAGCUGUGAACGAUGGUUAGUGAUAAAUGAUGCUCUCUUAAAGGUUACUGACAUUACUGAAGGCACGAUAGUUCGCCUGGCGAUGAUAAAUAAUUGGAUGGUUUCGGCAACCCAAAUGCACUCGCAUAAUUGUCCACUUUACUUGUGUGAAGUUUUCUUUAAACACCUUUUAAAAGAUUUCUUGCCUUCCGGCCUCGACGAGACACAUUAUACGCUGCAAAAAAAAAAAAAAAAAAAAAACAUUGCACCACUUUUUAUUGUAAGGUACUGCGUGUUUAUGAACAAGAAAAUCAGACAUCCAGCCAAUCGUAGCAAUUGCUACGAUUGGGUGGAUGUCUAAUUCUUACUUUAUUAAUUACUUAUGUGCACCUUGUGGGUUUCCGCAAAACAAUUAAGCUAAGCAGUGCGUGUUUGCAUGCAAACUUUUUAGUUAUUCGAGCCGCGGUCGUAGUCAGGAUAUUCGUGCCGCGGGCCUAGUCAGGGGUGUCCAAUGCCCGAUAUGCAUGUUCGUGCGUGUCUGUGUGUGUGUACGUGUAUAUUAGUACAUAGAAACUAAAAAUUUCGGUGGGUUCGAACCCUAGCCUCCUCCAGCUACGCCACUGGUUCGAGCGGAGCCUGCAUUAGAAAGUGCCAUCUUGCUCAGCGCUUGUUCACAAUUGCAGUAUAUAGCUCGCGACCAGCAGACAAAAAAAAAGAAAGGAAAUAGACCACCGCGCGCCAUUCGCCUCCUGCGCGCGUGAGGAGUGGCUUCAUUGCAUAGCUGGAACAUAAAGCCGGGAUUAUGCGCAACUCUGCUCCCUGCGGGAGCACACAAAUGGACACUACUUCCCCGUAAAAUCCCUCAAUAAUUUAAACGUACCGACAGGCUUUGAUCUAGCCGACAACGCUUGCGAUAGGCUGAUCGGUGACAUGUGACCUUGCUCCGCCCCUUUGCCGCCAUGAAAGUUCCUGCGCGCCGGGCGAAGUGCGCGCGUUUCGCCUGUUGUGCUAUGCACAUCGCUGCAAUAAUUUUGUUCCGGGAGGGCCGAAAUGCCUUGUUGCUGUGCGGUUGGGUGCCAAAACCGGACGAAGGAUGGCAAGAAGGUAUUUCGCAUCACGCGCGCCAACCAGAACCUAACCAGACGAAAAGUAGGGUUACACAGAAUCGGACGGACGGACUUUUAACCGUCGGUGACAGCACGACUAUGCGAGGCAACAUACAACGAUACAAAGGUGCGAUAGAAAGUAUACACGUGCGUGUGUCGAGCGGUGAUAGUAUUUCACUCGCGCGCAUGAAUGUUGAGGGCCGAAGUUUGUGGAGAUUAUUUAUUUUAGUUCGUUGUGAGCCCGCUGAAUGGAUCAGUAUGACCUAGGAUGCGAAGGACCGAGUAGCCUUGUUGCUGUGCGGAUGGGUGCCGAGAUGAGACGGAGGACUACAAGAAGUUAUUUUGCAUUCAGCGCGGCAAACAAAACCUAACAAGAAGGGAACUGAAUUAACGAACAUAAGGAUACUGGGACCCCUCUGGACAUUUUGUUACAUGGUAUUUGCAAGAACCUCGACACUCUUUAGGGCAAGCGAUUGAACUUUCCU